GAAAGACGUGUCUAGGGUACCACAGAUAUCAGUGUGUUGUGUUUACUACUGUGCCCAUGCUUCCAUCUUGAUGACAAGGAGGACGACUCCUUCAUCAUUCCCACUACAGAAUACACAAUGGUUCACAUCUUGAAACUGUUUCAGUGUUAUUAACCUGGAUUCCAUUUGGAUGAAAUGAAGCCAGAAGGACAGCAUAGAUGCUGAAACUACUGAAGAAUGCUGCAGUUAUCUCAUCGAGUGAUGUUCAUCAUUGGAGCCUGUUGAAAUACUUCUGCAUGAGGAAGGAAUGAUGCAUAUAAGCAAAUCUUGAAGAGAAGACUUCACAUAUUUCCCGACUAAUCUCUGAUGAGACAGCUUUCUUCCAUUCUUAAAGGAGGAAGAAAGGGAGAAUCAGCAAGUAAAACAAAACAAGAAAAUGAUGUUCAUUCCACAUAACAUAUUUAAUUUGAUCGACAAUCUUUAGCCUGUCAUUGACCAAGAACACCCAAGUAAUGUUUGUUGGAAAAUCUACUCUAAGCUGCUGAGCAGUUAAUUUGCCAGUUUUAGUUUUAUGUACAAAAUCAGCUUUGUAUCAAUUUUCCUUCUUUAUAUGCACUCUAUAGAUAUUAAAUAAGCC
ensembl:lncRNA